rnacentral:rRNA from 1 species
UACGGAGGGUGCAAGCGUUAUCCGGAUUUACUGGGUUUAAAGGGUGCGUAGGUGGAUUUGUAAGUCAGGGGUGAAAUCUCCGAGCUUAACUCGGAAACUGCCUUUGAUACUAUAAGUCUUGAAUUAUCUGGAGGUAAGCGGAAUAUGGCAUGUAGCGGUGAAAUGCUUAGAUAUGCCAUAGAACACCAAUUGCGAAGGCAGCUUACUACGGAUACAUUGACACUGAGGCACGAAAGCGUGGGGAUCAAACAGG